rnacentral:lncRNA from 1 species
GGCACCUGCCGAGCAGGUGUACUGAGCGCGGGACCCGCCUCCCUGCUGCGCAUGGGGCUCUUUAGAAGCAAGCUGGGGGGGGGGGGAGGGACGUUCCGCCAUCCCUCCUCCACCCUCCUCCCCCUUCCUCCUCCUCCUCCUCCCCUCCUCCCCCUCCCCCUCCUCCCUCCUCUUCCUAGUUCUCCUCCUCCCCCUUCCCCUUCCCCCUCCUCCCCUUCCCCUCCCCUCCUCUCCUUCCCCCUCCCCCUCCUCCCCCCUCCUCCUCCCCCUUCCUCCUCCCCCUCCUCUUCUCCCCCCCUCCUCUUCUCCCCCUCCUCCUCCUCCCCCUCCUCCUCCUAGUCCUCUUCCCCUUCCUCCUCCUUCUGGUCCUCCUCCUCCCCUCCCCCUCCUCCCUCCUCCUCCCCCCUUCCUCCUCCUCCUCCCCUCCUCUCCUCCCCGUCCUCUCCUCCCCAUCCUCCCUUUUCCUCCUCCCCCUUCCUCACUCCUCCUCAUCCUCUCCCUCCCCCUCCUCCCCUUCCUCCUCCUUCUGGUCCUCCUCCUCCCCCUCCCCCUCCUCCCUCCUCCUCCCCUCCUCCCUCCUCCUCCCCCCUUCCUCCUCCUCCUCCCCCUCUCCCCCUUUCUCCUCCUCCCCCUCUUCCUCCCCCCUCCUCCUCCUCCCCUCCUCUCCUCCCCGUCCUCUCCUCCCCCUCCCCCUCCUCCCCUUCCCCCUCCUCCUCCCCCUCCCCUCCUCCCUCCUCCUCCCCUCCUCCCUCCUCCUCCCCCCUUCCUCCUCCUCCUCCCCUCCUCUCCUCCCCGUCCUCUCCUCCCCCCUCCCCCUCCUCCCCUUCCCCCUCCUCCUCCCCCUCCCCCUCCUCCCUCCUUCUCCCCCUCCUCCCCUUUUUCCUCCUCCUCCCCCUCCUCCUUCUCCCUGAGUCCCGUGGCAGGUGUGCAGAAUCCCAGUGCCCAUCUCCAGGCCUUCCCGAAGGCCCAUCGCUGGAGGCUGCAUGGACCCCCUUGUGGCCAUGGCUCAUACCCUCACCACGCGCCCUCACCACGCGCUCCCGACCACCCCAGGCCUCGCAGAGGACCCCGCCGCCUCCCUUCCGCAGCCCCGCAGACCUUGCCACCAGGAUGGCCUGGCCGGUCCUGCGCCGCCUGCAUACACAGGGAUCCCCUCAGUAUCCCGAGCUGCGUGCCCGCUCCUGCUGGUG